rnacentral:rRNA from 1 species
UACAGAGGUCCCAAGCGUUGUUCGGAUUUACUGGGCGUAAAGGGCGCGUAGGCGGCCUUCUAAGUCGAACGUGAAAUCCCCGGGCUCAACCCGGGAACUGCGUCCGAUACUGGAAGGCUUGAAUCCGGGAGAGGGAUGCGGAAUUCCAGGUGUAGCGGUGAAAUGCGUAGAUAUCUGGAGGAACACCGGUGGCGAAGGCGGCAUCCUGGACCGGCAUUGACGCUGAGGCGCGAAAGCCAGGGGAGCAAACGGG